rnacentral:rRNA from 1 species
CGGCCUAACCAUGCAAGUCGGACGGUAGCACAGAGGAGCUUGCUCCUUCGGGUCGACGAGUGGCGGACGGGUGAGUAAUGUCUGGGAAACUGUCCUGAUGGAGGGGGAUAACUACUGGAAACGGUAGCUAAUACCGCAUAACUGUCGCAAGACCAAAGAGGGGGACCUUCGGGCCUCUUGCCAUCAGAUGUGCCCAGAUGGGAUUAGCUAGUAGGUGGGGUAACGGCUCACCUAGGCGACGAUCCCUAGCUGGUCUGAGAGGAUGACCAGCCACACUGGAACUGAGACACGGUCCAGACUCCUACGGGAAGGCAGCAGUGGGGAAUAUUGCACAAUGGGCGCAAGCCUGAUGCAGCCAUGCCGCGUGUAUGAAGAAGGCCUUCGGGUUGUAAAGUACUUUCAGCGGGGAGGAAGGUGUUGUGGUUAAUAACCGCAGCAAUUGACGUUACCCGCAGAAGAAGCACCGGCUAACUCCGUGCCAGCAGCCGCGGUAAUACGGAGGGGUGCAAGCGUUAAUCGGAAUUACUGGGCGUAAAGCGCACGCAGGCGGUCUGUCAGUCGGAAUGUGAAAUCCC